rfam:Actinoplanes derwentensis strain DSM 43941 genome assembly, chromosome: I
ACCUCAUCCAGAGGGGCAGAGGGAUACGGCCCGAUGAAGCCCCGGCAACCACCGCGCAGCAGUUCUCGAUGACGAGAAGCGACGUGGCAGGUGCUAAUUCCGUCCCCGUUCCGGCAGGUCGCCGCGGGGAAAGAUGAGAG